rnacentral:lncRNA from 1 species
CACGGCUGCUGAGCCCAUGGAGCAGCAGCUGCUCCAGCUCCAGAGUGGACAAUCCCAUUUUUUGGGUGUUUUCCUAAAUGUCAGGGGGGUUUGUGAUGCAAUCUGUGUUAGUGGCACCUCCUCUGGGGCAAAUCCUGACACUGGGCCCAGGGUGUGAUGCACUGAGCCUGGUGUGGAUCUCCUGGAUCUUCAAAGGACAGCUCUUAAUUAGACAAGAGAUUAUUUGGACCAACCAGAAA